rnacentral:rRNA from 1 species
UGGGGAAUUUUGGACAAUGGGCGAAAGCCUGAUCCAGCAAUGCCGCGUGUGUGAAGAAGGCCUUCGGGUUGUAAAGCACUUUUGUCCGGAAAGAAAUGGCUCUGGUUAAUACCUGGGGUCGAUGACGGUACCGGAAGAAUAAGGACCGGCUAACUACGUGCCAGCAGCCGCGGUAAUACGUAGGGUCCAAGCGUUAAUCGGAAUUACUGGGCGUAAAGCGUGCGCAGGCGGUUGUGCAAGACCGAUGUGAAAUCCCCGAGCUUAACUUGGGAAUUGCAUUGGUGACUGCACGGCUAGAAUGUGUCAGAGGGGGGUAGAAUUCCACGUGUAGCAGUGAAAUGCGUAGAGAUGUGGAGGAAUACCGAUGGCGAAGGCAGCCACCUGGGAUAACACUGACGCUCAUGCACGAAAGCGUGGGGAGCAAACAGG